CUCAAGGCUCUUUUCAGAGCUACAUACCUUACGAAAGGUGACUAU
rfam:Operophtera brumata OBRT01_Sc01490, whole genome shotgun sequence.